AUGAACGCUGGCGGCGUGCCUCAUACCUGCAAGUCGCGCGAACAGACGAGGAGCUUGCUCCUCUGACGUUAGCGGCGGACGGGUGGGUAACACGUGGAUAACCUACCUAUAAGACUGGGAUAACUUCGGGAAACCGGAGCUAAUACCGGAUAAUAUAUUGAACCGCAUGGUUCAAUAGUGAAAGACGGUUUUGCUGUCACUUAUAGAUGGAUCCGCGCCGCAUUAGCUAGUUGGUAAGGUAACGGCUUACCAAGGCAACGAUGCGUAGCCGACCUGAGAGGGUGAUCGGCCACACUGGAACUGAGACACGGUCCAGACUCCUACGGGAGGCAGCAGUAGGGAAUCUUCCGCAAUGGGCGAAAGCCUGACGGAGCAACGCCGCGUGAGUGAUGAAGGUCUUCGGAUCGUAAAACUCUGUUAUUAGGGAAGAACAAAUGUGUAAGUAACUAUGCACGUCUUGACGGUACCUAAUCAGAAAGCCACGGCUAACUACGUG
rnacentral:rRNA from 1 species